AACACUGAAAUUCGUGGAACCUAUGCCCCUCCUUUUCAUGUUGAGCUAUACCGGAACGACCCGCACCGAUUCAAGA